UACGGAGGGUGCAAGCGUUAUCCGGAUUCACUGGGUUUAAAGGGUGCGUAGGAGGGCAGGUAAGUCAGUGGUGAAAUCCUGCAGCUUAACUGUAGAAGUGCCUUUGAUACUGGUCGUCUCGAGGGAGGUAGGGGUGUGCGGAACUUCCAGUGGAGCGGUGAAAUGCGUUGAUAUUGGAAGGAACGCCGGAGGCGAAAGCGGCGCACUGGACCUCUUCUGACGCUGAGGCGCGAAAGCUAGGGGAGCAAACGGG
rnacentral:rRNA from 1 species